rnacentral:rRNA from 1 species
UACGGAGGGGGCUAGCGUUAUUCGGAAUUAUUGGGCGUAAAGAGCUCGUAGGCGGUUUGUCGCGUCUGCCGUGAAAGUCCGGGGCUCAACUCCGGAUCUGCGGUGGGUACGGGCAGACUAGAGUGAUGUAGGGGAGACUGGAAUUCCUGGUGUAGCGGUGAAAUGCGCAGAUAUCAGGGGGAACACCGAUGGCGAAGGCAGGUCUCUGGGCAUUAACUGACGCUGAGGAGCGAAAGCAUGGGGAGCGAACAGG